rnacentral:rRNA from 1 species
GACGAACGCUGGCGGCGCGCUUAACACAUGCAAGUCGAGCGAAGCGGCGGACGGGUGAGUAACACGUGAGUAACCUGCCUUAGACAUUGGGAUAGCCUAGGGAAACCGGGAUUCAUACCACAUGGUGUAAGAGGGACUCGCGUCCCAUUAGCUAGUAGGUGAGGUAACGGCCAACCAAGGCGACAAUGGGUAGCCGGCCUGAGAGGGUGAACGGCCACAGUGGAACUGGGAAACUGUCCAAACUCUACGGGAGGCAGCAGUGGGGAAUAUUGCACAACCGAGGGAACUCUGAUGCAGCGACGCCGGGUGAACGAAGAAGGCUUUCGAGUCGUAAAGUUCUUUUAUAUGGGAAGCGGUACCAUAAGAAAAAGCCCCGGCUAACUACGUGCCAGCAGCCGCGGUAAUUC